GCCCGGCUAGCUCAGUCGGUUGAGCAUGAGUCUCUUAAUGUCAGGGUUGUGGGUUCGAGCCCCACGAUGGGCG
rnacentral:tRNA from 1 species